UGCUCUACUUUCACAUCAAUGGCGACUGAAGAGGCCUCGACUGCUUCCGCGGCCUCCGACGAAGUGGGACUACGAUGCCUCCCUCGUCUCCCGUGUCCGCGUCGUCGCUGGUGGCGUUGCUGCUGCUGCCGCUUGCGCUACCGCUGCCGCUGCCCUUGCCGUUUGAAGUCGACCCCCCAUUCGGCGUCUCGCCUCCCUCGCUCCAUCCCAAUUCCGCCAUCAUAUCCUGCAGCUGCGUUCGCUCAAAUCCACCGACGACGUGUUACCACCGCACGCAAAAGACGAAGCAGAGCUCCCAAGCGUAAACCUCGCUCACCUUGCAACUGAUGGAGCAGAACCUGAUUCCAGGGUCCUUCGUAGAGGGCGGGAAUAUGAAACAGCACGUCCUGCACGCGUGAUGUUCGAUGAUUUGUCCCGGUGCGCGAGGAUCUCUCCUCCUUUUGAUGUACACCACGCUGGCCCCGUUGUUGAUGAGCUUUUGGAUGUCCGAGGUGUCGAUGAGCCCGGCGAUGCUUUCUUCCAACACCGCCUCCUUGCGCGUGGCUUUGAACACCUUUUGGAAUGGAAGAAGCCAUCAUCAGAAUGCGAGGUCACGACGAAGGAUGGUUGGUUGGUUGGUUUGACUCACCUGGAUGAUGUGUUGGUGCUCGUGGUUGUGCGCUGGUCUGCACAGGGCGCAGAAGGGAGUCAUUCGGCAGUCGAAACAGUAGAAGUUGCAGGGUUUUUCAUGGAGUUUACAUUUUUCGUGAAACAAAUCAUGUGCGCUGAUGAAAUCCAGCAGCAUCUGAAGCUUCAUGUUUCCCAUGUCACCCAUCUGAAUCAGCUGGAGAGUUAGGGAAUACUGGUAAGAACUCAACUGAGGAAGAAGGAUGAAGCAGCUAAGUCAGUCUGCAAGCAGAACAGAAGCCUAAACAAAGGUGGUUUACCAUGGGUUUGUAGUGUUCUGCUCCGACUUAAGCUUCGAACCUUCGGGCUCACACGCUCAUCAGAUAUCACAGCAACUGCUGCUUGUGCUUAUGAUGCCAAAGAAGCAAACAACUCAUGGUUGAGGAUGAGAAGAAGAGAGGAGGACAAGGACAACAUGCAGGUAAUGAUCAAGAAGGACCAUGGCUUAGAAGAUCAUCAUAAUAUAUAUAUACUCCUAGUUCUCGAUUAAACAAAAUAAAAAAAAAAGAUCAUCAUGACUGAGCAAUCGAAUCGUAUAUAGAAACAGCACAGGAGCACUGCAAGAAUUAACCUUGGAUUGGAUUGAGAAGGAAGAAGACGAUGCGACGGCGAGAAGCAAUCGUUGAGCGGCGGAAGAAGCUAUUGGUUGAUGGCUCGAUAGCUUCAGAAAACUACAGUUCUUCGUCCACGUUUCAUGUUGUAUUUAUAGGCUCAAAUCUUCGGAAUCGUGUACGAUGCCAAGUCGGAGUCCGUUUCAAACUCGUGUCUUCGUUCUGGAGUUUUGAAU